UACGUAGGGUGCGAGCGUUGUCCGGAAUUACUGGGCGUAAAGAGCUCGUAGGUGGUUUGUCGCGUUGUCCGUGAAAACUCACAGCUUAACUGUGGGCGUGCGGGCGAUACGGGCAGACUGGAGUACUGCAGGGGAGACUGGAAUUCCUGGUGUAGCGGUGGAAUGCGCAGAUAUCAGGAGGAACACCGGUGGCGAAGGCGGCUCUCUGGGCCUUACCUGACGCUGAGGAGCGAAAGCGUGGGUAGCGAACAGG
rnacentral:rRNA from 1 species